UCAAAUUGUUUAAACUCAAACAAAAUAUUUCUUCUGUCCACUAUUUUAAAGAGCAAUGGGGUUGAUACAAUUGCUCAUCAGAAAUGGACUGGUGCUAAUUACAAUGAUAGGUACCUCAAAACUGUCGAAGGAGGUGUAGCGUCAACGACUACAAUGGAAAAAGGAGUAACCGAAGAGCAAUAAACAUGGAGAAGGCUAGAGGCACUUGAUGCAUGGUGGUUGCUACGACCAUAAUGUGAAAGAGCUACUUCUACUGAACUAUGGUGCUGAGUAUGAAAUUUAGGGGAAAUUAAUUCAGUAAUUCAUCAAUUUAUGUAUUGAAUUGGAAUGAUAUAAAUGUAAAAGAUAAUUAAGUAGGCCAUUAAAUCAUUGCGGUAUUUUUUGGCUUCUUCAAAGUCUCAAGUUUAUAGGCAAGGGGAGGAAAGAAAGCUAGUUUGUGUGUUUUGUAAUUUGUUUUACCCCAUUUGUUAAAUAUGUUUGAUUUUGUGCA